AAUAGAUACCCCGGUAGUCCACGCCGUAAACGAUGGAUACUAGGUGUGGGAGGUAUCGACCCCUUCCGUGCCGCAGUAAACGCAAUAAGUAUCCCGCCUGGGGAGUACGGCCGCAAGGUUGAAACUCAAAGGAAUUGACGGGGGCCCGCACAAGCAGCGGAGCAUGUGGUUUAAUUCGAAGCAACGCGAAGAACCUUACCAGGACUUGACAUCCCCUGCAUUACUCGUAACGGAGGAAAUCCUUCGGGACAGGGAGACAGGUGGUGCAUGGUUGUCGUCAGCUCGUGUCGUGAGAUGUUGGGUUAAGUCCCGCAACGAGCGCAACCCUUAUCCUUAGUUGCUAACAGUAAGAUGAGCACUCUAGGGAGACUGCCGGGGACAACUCGGAGGAAGGUGGGGAUGACGUCAAAUCAUCAUGCCCCUUAUGUUCUGGGCUACACACGUGCUACAAUGGGUAGAACAACGGGAAGCAAGCUAGUGAUAGUAAGCAAAUCCCUAAAAACUACUCUCAGUUCAGAUUGUAGGCUGCAACUCGCCUAC
rnacentral:rRNA from 1 species